AUUGAACGCUGGCGGCAGGCCUAACACAUGCAAGUCGAACGGUAGCACAGAGAGCUUGCUCUCGGGUGACGAGUGGCGGACGGGUGAGUAACGUCUGGGAAACUGCCCGAUGGAGGGGGAUAACUACUGGAAACGGUAGCUAAUACCGCAUAACGUCGCAAGACCAAAGUGGGGGACCUUCGGGCCUCACACCAUCGGAUGUGCCCAGAUGGGAUUAGCUAGUAGGUGGGGUAAUGGCUCACCUAGGCGACGAUCCCUAGCUGGUCUGAGAGGAUGACCAGCCACACUGGAACUGAGACACGGACCCGACUCCUGCGGGAGGCAGCAGUGGGGAAUAUUGCACAAUGGGCGCAAGCCUGAUGCAGCCAUGCCGCGUGUAUGAAGAAGGCCUUCGGGUUGUAAAGUACUUUCAGCGGGGAGGAAGGCGGUGAAGUUAACAGCUUCACCGAUUGACGUUACCCGCAGAAGAAGCACCGGCUAACUCCGUGCCAGCCGCCGCCGUAA
rnacentral:rRNA from 1 species